GCCGCCGCAGGCUGCUGGGGGUGAGGGCACGACUCGGCCUCCGUCCGACUCGAGGGUGUCGCGAAGGCCAGGAGGGAACGAAAGUUACCCUCGAACUUCGGAGGCGAAAGAUUUCAUGUGGAUCUUAAAAAGGGCAAAACCUACCCCAAAGGACGUAAACCGCCCUCCCCUCCCCCGCCAGAGAACUUCCCGGCGCAGAGCUUCCGCAGCCUGCUGCAGGCCGGGAGACCUUCACGCUCACUCGCUCUCCGCCACACGCCGGAACUGCGCGGCCACGUCCACGGGGACCCUGGCCAUGCCCCGCACCGCCACCCGGCCCCAGGCGAUCCCCGGGCCCCACGCGCCUGCAGUCGGCGCUGCGCCUGCGUGGGAGGAUCCGGCGGAAGGGGCGGGGUCAGGUGGCACUUCCGUGGCUUCGGGCGGGGAGGUCACAAUCACAUUGAGCCAAAACGCAUCCAGUGUUUUCUUCAGUUACAAAUAAAACGAAUAUGCCCAUGCUGCUACCACAUCCUCACCAGCAUUUCCUAAAAGGCCUUUUAAGAGCACCUUUCCGAUGUUACCACUUCAUCUUUCACUCAAGUACUCAUCUCGGAUCAGGAAUCCCAUGUGCUCAGCCGUUUAAUUCUCUUGGACUCCAUUGUACAAAGUGGAUGCUGCUGUCAGAUGGUUUAAAGAGAAAAUUAUGUGUACAAACAACCUUAAAGGACCACACAGAAGGACUUUCUGAUAAAGAGCAAAGAUUUGUGGAUAAACUUUAUACUGGUUUAAUCCAAGGGCAAAGGGCCUGUUUAGCAGAGGCCAUAACUCUUGUAGAAUCAACUCACAGCAGGAAAAAGGAGUUAGCCCAGGUGCUUCUUCAGAAAGUAUUACUUUACCACAGAGAACAAGAACAAUCAAAUAAAGGAAAACCACUAGCAUUUCGAGUAGGAUUGUCUGGGCCCCCUGGUGCUGGAAAAUCAACAUUUAUAGAAUAUUUUGGAAAAAUGCUUACUGAGAGAGGGCACAAAUUAUCUGUGCUAGCUGUGGACCCUUCUUCUUGUACUAGUGGUGGAUCACUCUUAGGUGAUAAAACCCGAAUGACUGAGUUAUCAAGAGAUAUGAAUGCAUACAUCAGGCCAUCUCCUACUAGAGGAACUUUAGGAGGCGUGACAAGGACCACAAAUGAAGCUAUUCUGUUGUGUGAAGGAGCGGGAUAUGACAUAAUUCUUAUUGAAACCGUUGGUGAGUGUGAUAUUCUAUUUCAUAACAAUGUACUAUUUUAUGAAUGCUAUAUAAAGAUGAGUGACAACUUAUUUUUGUUCAUUCAGCAGAUAUUUGCUAAAUGUAUAAUUAAAUACAAGAUAUCUCAUACUCCCUAGAAGAUAUGAAUAUAUAGGUUAUAAUCUUUACCCUCCAAGAUCUUAUUUUAAAAAGUAAAAAUAAGCCAUCUAUAACUGGAUAUAAUAUACAGGUGGUAUAUUAUACAUGCCAGAGGAGAACUGUAAGCAUUAGGAUGAUCUGUGUAAAUGAUGCUUUGGCACAACACCUAUUUUAAGUACAUUUCAUAUGUCUACUGUGUUCACCAAGAAAAUUAAUGUAGUUGGGUGCCUUUUGAAAAUGCAAAUAUGUUUUAUUUCAUUGUUUUAUAUCCUUAGCAUAUAGUUACAUGUGAUGAAGACACUGAAAUGAAAACCCUAAUAAAUUCUUU
rnacentral:sRNA from 1 species